rnacentral:rRNA from 2 species
UCGACGGAGAGUUUGAUCCUGGCUCAGGACGAACGCUGGCGGCGGGCCUAACACAUGCAAGUCGAACGAGAUGCCUUCGGGUAUCUAGUGGCGAACGGGUGAGUAACACGUGAGGAACCUGCCCCGAAGACGGGGAUAACCGUGGGAAACUGCGGCUAAUACCCGAUACCCCCGAUGCGGCGCAUGCCGCGACGAGGAAAUGCUCCGGUGCUUCGGGAGGGCCUCGCGGCCUAUCAGCUAGUUGGUGAGGUAACGGCUCACCAAGGCUUCGACGGGUAGCUGGUCUGAGAGGACGAUCAGCCACACUGGGACUGAGACACGG